GACUUGUUAGGUGUGGAGCUUUUCUGUGAAUGGAACCUCUUGUCUUCCCUGGACUAUGGUGCUGCACAGGUCAGUCUCGUUUGAAUUUUGUUUGCAGUGUCAAUCAUGAGACUACCAAGCAGUCAGAGUGGCCACAGACAGUGCAGCCUUGGAGCAGACAGCCCUACCUCGAGCUAGUCCGUGACCCUGAGGACACUGUUUGACCCCUGGUGCUCACUCCUCACCCGUGUGUUAGCAUUGAGAGGGGAAGUGAAGUGGCCUGGCUAGGGAAAGCACUGCUGUGAUUGGUCUGCUCCCAGCAGGGCUCCACACAGGUGGCACCAAAGGACACUGACCUUAUGGGUUUGUAGAGUCGGCUCUCGACCUUCCUGUCAGCUUCCCAGGAAGUUGGCAGAACUGGGAAGACACUUCCCUGUUUUCAGUGCAGGAAAAAGUGACCUGAGAGUAUAAAUAUCAUUCCAAUUCACGGAGUGACUUCACGCAGAGACAAUGUCUUCUUGUUCCUCAUUCCUGCCUGGCAGAGCUCUCCAGGGACUGAGCUUCCCCAGGGCUGUGAUGGUUGUGUCUUCGUCCAGGACUCUAGACCUCUUUCAGUCUCAGCAUCAAACUCUGCACACCAGUGUGCAGGUCUCGUCAUGUGAAUACACAGCAGCUGCUGGGCGAUGCUGCCAGCGGUCUAAAGUUGAGAGGAGGCUGUUUUCGAUGAUCGGAGGCAGAGCAGGCAGAUGAUCGGGGGUGAGAGGCAGUGUCACCUCAGCCAGCAGCAUAGAGCUGGAGAUCAUGGCUGUCGACUCUGCCUGGCGCCCUCCCAUCGCCUGUGCCCUGCAGCUCAGCAGUUGUCACUGGUCAGGUACUUCCUAGGUAGGAAGCCUGUGCCCAAGCCUGGCCAGAGCCCUGCAGGGCCUCCCCCACCCCUAAAUCUCUCCCAGCACGGUCCCCAGGAUUGACGAAAGAAGAAUGAGUGGCCAGUGCAUCGAAUGCAUCUUUCCACAGAAACAAUGUUGGAAAUGACUCUAUUCCCAAAGACACUGACAGCUGACCUCUGUGCUCUGAGAGACUGUGAUAGCUGGACCCUGUGGAGUUGAGGCUCCAAUUGGUGCAUUUAUCUCAACUCUGGGUGUGGACUCCACUGGCUGGAAGUCAUCCCUAUGGCUUGGUUUGAGAUUGGGUGACCCAUAGUGAGCCAAUGGGGCUCUGGCAUAGGGUGGCUUGAGUUUCUGCAAAAGUUCCUGGAGGCAGCAGACAGCCAGGCAGCUCCUAAUUACUGUCUCACAGACAGGGGAAACCCAAGUAUGGGAUGAGGCUGACUGCGAGAAGCGUAUCUACUCGGCUUUACACUGGUAGCAGAAUACAACUGAAAGUACCAAGCACGGUGCUGCUCUGGUCAUGGCCUUCCCGCUGGGUCCUAACAUGGCAGAGGCCAUCCCAUCACCAUGCAGCCUGAGCAUGCAAACCCGUCUCUCUGUCUUCUUACAGAGCCACCAGUCACAUCGCAGAGCCUCACUCAUAUGACCUCAUCUUACCCCGAUCUCUCACUAAAGUCUGACCUCCAAAUAACACCAACAAACGAUUUGGAGAUAAAGUUUGUAACACACGAACUUUUGAAGGACACAUUCAGACCAUGGCAGCAGGAAUGCAGGUGGGAGAAGCCCAAGUCCUGCCGUACGAGCUACUGUGGACACCUUGUCUCGCCCACGUCUGAUUUCUGUUAUGUGUGCAGUAGGAUUUCUUUUUUGGGAGCCAGCUGGAGCCAGAUUUCCUGUAACCUGCAGCUGAAGCAGGGCUGACCCACAUGAGGCUGAAGGAACCAGCUGGUCUCUUUCUUUACCACAGCUCCUUCCAAGCCUUCGGCACUGUAUUUUUUGAAUUUGGGAAGCAUUUUAGCCUCAAUCCAUUAAAAUGACUGCCUCUUUCCACUGCAGUGCUUCUGUGCCACAUCGCCCCGCAGUGGAAACAGCCACUGGCCCUUGGGAUCUGGCCCGGGAAGAGAAGACGAGUCACUCCCUCACCAGGCGAGGAGGGCUUGGCUCACUGUUGCUCUGGGCCUAGCUAAGUCACACUGGAUGUCACAGUGUGAAGAUGACUUCUAGUUCUCCCAGCCACAGAGCUGUCUGCAGACACUGCGCCCACAGUGACAACGGACUCAACCGCUGACUGACCUCUUUCCCUGCCCUCCUACGGUGUCUUCUGGGAUCGCCUACAGGGACUUCUGCUGGCUUCAGGUCCUUUGAGCCCUCACCAGGAUGGUGUAGACGGAUGCUGUUACUCAUUUCACAGAUGGAGAAACUGAGGCUCAGGGAGAGACCUCCCUGCAGAGUACUGGAAGAUGAUUCCUGAAAAUGCGUCCUUUUCACUUUCACCAGGUUUUUCCACACUGAGCUCCCUCCCUCCCCUCCGGGUCUUCCUGGGCACGCCAGAGAGGGAACCAUGGGUUUCGCCCUCCUGAAAGCAAAUCAAAACCCUUGAGGGGGAGGAACAAGGCCAAGGAACCUCGAAGACACCCUCUUCCGAUGUCAUGGCAGUUGCUGCCGUCCAGCCUGACCCUCAGUGACCCCAGGGCCUAUUGCAGAGAUACUCGGGUCCCUGAAGGGCCCUCAUUGGUCCAGAGCACCUUGAUUUCAGACAAAGGACAUGACUUUACCUUGCUCUGAGUGACUCAGACUGGCAGGAGGCAGACUUCAGGCCCAUGUGACCAGCGGAAGUAACCAGCCCAAGAGCCCCUGAGUCGGAGCCAGAGGGGGAAGGUGGGCCUGCGUCUGUUGGAAGGGACACCCCUUUCCCAGUCCAGGUCCCACCUCGAGCCUGUCCCACAAACCCCUCCCCUCUGUGACAGCAGCCAUCCCCUCAGGGUCCCCCUGGGGAUCAGCCCCAGCUCACAUGGCUGGCAUUUACCUGCCCCACCACAUCCUCCCACCCUGGCUGGUGGCCUGGCCCUGCAGUCCAGCAGUCCAGCAGUGCUGUAUGUCACUGAACACCUCCUGGGCUCCUGCCUCUGUGUCCCAGUGAAGAAAUGAGGGUGAUCUGGAGGUGGGACACCAGUGCUGGAUGAGGGGGAGUGGUUAAGAGCCUGGGGGUUCUGUUCUCAGACAGCCUCCUGUGAAGCCUGGCCACAGCUCUGUUUGGAUUCACAGUCUCCAGUCUAGCUUGUGGGCUGCCUGGAACCCUUGGGCUCCAACAGGCCCUGAAUGCCCCUCGGGGGGACUCAAGGAAGGGGCUCCCUGCUUCCCAGAUGGGCCACACCCCGAGGCACCAGAGUCUGGCUGAGGUCUCUGGAGGGCUCCGUGGGGGAGGGUGGCAUAGCGCCAUAAUUAGGCAGAAGUGAGCACAGGAAGGUGCCUGUCGGUUCGGUCACCACUGCUGGGUAUUUUAAAACGCUGGAGGAGAGGAUUUUGAAUGUUUCUGAAGCAGCAGUGAACAUUCAAGGAGACAGAUGCGCGUGCACUGAUUUGAGUGUUGUGCUGUGCUCGCCUGUAGCCCAACACCACACAACACAGCCCACCGGCACAGGAUCAUUAGGUGUCAGCUGAAAAAUGAAUCGUAAAAGGAGGGAGUCAGCAAGCAGUGGAGGGUCUGGCAGGAGCAGAGGGCCUGGCUGGGCACUGUCCUGCCCGGGCGACAGGUGCGCGCCUUGCCCACAGCUCCUUGGUUACCCGAAGCGUGCUCCCUGGUCUGAGUGAGAGGCCCUUGGCUUUCGAUGUCCCCUGGCCUAGCUGGAACAGCUCUGAAGGAAGAAGAGGUUAAAAUGUGGUUUAAGCUUCAGGCAAUUAGUGCCACCUCUCAGAGCCCUUCCACUGGGAGAAUUCACACUGGAGUUAGUCUGACUUUAACAGGAUCCAGUGUCAGGCUGUCGCAGGUCCCAGGGGCGCCUGAUUCUUGAGGGCAGCAGCUUCUGGCUUGCGGCUCAGAUAACAAGUGUGGCUCUUAGGGGUCCAGACCUCUCCAGGGAGAUCUGAUCAGGAGAAAGGAGCGGAGGCUGAGUGCCUGGGGUUAUUCUGAGAACAAGGAGCAGGGUCGCAGGCAGAGCUCCAAUCACUGCAAGCCCUGAAGGACAAUUCAGACCCCUUGCCACCAGCCACCACGCACCCUGGGGCAGAAGUGAGGCUGGAGGGCCUGGUGGCCACCACAGUGGCCGCCUCCAGUGUGGCCUGAGGGUAUGCAUCAGCUGCCCCUGGAGCCUAUUAGAAAUGCUGGCUAUGGGCCUGUGUGGUCACUGGACCUGAGAACCCUGCUCUGGCCGCAGGUGGGGGCGGACCAGCUUCACGCUUCACUGAGCAGCAUGGAACCUGAAAUUUUUAGAACCGGUUUCCGGUGUUUUAUAAUAGGCAUUUUUCUUCAUGAAAACCUACAUUUUAGCUUUUCUUGGGGGAGAAACUUAGAAGAUCUAGUCACAAGGAACACACCUGCCUGCUUUGUGGUGACUGCCUGGAGCUGAGCAAAAGCCACUGCUCUUAGCAGGGCCACGCCCUGCAUGACCUGUCCUGCUGGCUCCCUGUCUCCCUGGAGGCGUGGGGCCCUAGCCUGUGACACAUCUGUCCCUAUCCCAAGUUAAAGGCCAUUCCACAUACACUGGUGGUAUGCUGGGCCUCCUCUCCCUGCCCUGCACCCGCUCCUGCCAGCCACCCCACUUCUGUGGAGAUGGAGAAGAAAGACAGACCUAGUGCAGAGGCCCAAGGCGGAGGUGCACCAGUUUAACCUUCAGUCAGGUCUGUCUCAUCCCCAGAGGAUGCCCCAUCAUUGAGCUCUGGAAGGAUAGGACGAUCCCUCUGCUCGGCUACUACCCAGGACUGGGGUCCUCAGAAGUGAACAGGCCCAUUUCUCAGCAGCUGGCGACCCUGUGGUCUGGACUGCUUGGGACUCUUGGCUCUCACAGUCUGUGCUCUGAGGACUGUGCUGGCAACGGACCAACUCGCCUCCCUCUGGAAGGAGGUGGCAGGGUUAGCAGGGAAAGGACAGUCUGCCUCGCUGACCCUAAAGUCAUUCUUGAGCACUUCCUUGCAGAUGGGGGGCAGGUGGCAGGCAAUUCCUUUCAAGUCCCUCAUCUUGGAGGAGGACGUUUUGACGAGGUCUACAAGGUCAGCUCAGCUCCGGGGGAGAAUUGACAAUAAAAAUGUGGUUGCAAGAAGCAUUAAUGGAAUUCUCAUACAUGCAGAUGAGGGGGCAGCGAAGAAACACUUGAGUCGUUGAGCAGACCUGGCUUAGGAGGCCAAGGCAUCUUCAGUGGAAAUCACCUUAUUUCUGAAUGUGCAUCUCUGAGACCAUAGGAAUGGUGUUGGUCAGGGGUCUCUGAGGGACAGAAUAAUGGAAUCCAUCUCUGUCCAUCCACCCACCCACCCACUCACAUGUCCAUGCACCCAUCCAUAUCCAUCCAUAAUGUCUGGUAUCAUAUCCACCAAUCACCAUCUAUCUUUUAUAUCUAUCUUCUAUCAUUUAUAGUUAUCAUUUAUCUACCAUAUCUGUCUACCCAACUAUCAUCUCUCAGUCUGUUGUCUAACAUUGAUAGCUAUCCUCUAUCAUUUAUAUUUUUCAUCCAUCGUUUGUCUAUCAUCUGUCUAUCUACCAAUCAUCUAUCUAUCUGUGUAUUUCUGUCUAUCUAGGAAUGAUGGUCAUGUGAUUAUGAAGGCCACAAGAUCCUGUGGACCACUGUCUGCAAACAGCAGAAUCCAGGAUUCCCGUGCUGUGGCUCAGUCCCAGUCUAGGCAUGCUGUGUUUCAGCCUGAAGCCGCCAGGCUGAGUACCUGGGGGCGCGGUGCUGUGAAGGGGCCCAAAGGCUGGGGGUCCAGGAGCCCUGAUGUCUGAGGAGAAGAAGGCUGCAGCUCUGCAGGGGAGAGUGCUUUACCUUUUCCUUGUACAUCUACCUGUAGCAAGUACCUUUGGGUACUUGGAGUCAGGCAAGCUGGAACCCAAAAUUUGCUGUCUUGGCCCCCGUGGCAAAUGGUGACCAGAGUGGGAUUCUCCUGGCCUUGAGGACCCGUGCUGGACCCUCACACCAGCUGCUGUACACCCUAGAGCCCACUGGAGGCAGUGAGGUCAGAGAGGGAGGGUGGAUCAGGCAUCCGUCUCAAAGGCAGGUGGCCGCCAGGUCCCCUCCAGGCAGCUCCUUGGGAUGACUGCUGUCAUAGGCAUACUCUGCAGGAGGAGGAGAGGAACCUGGGACCUGGGGUCUGAUCCCUGCCUCUCUCCCACCGAGGUGUGGUGAUGCUUGGCCGAGUGUCCUGGUCACUUUGAGCUUAGCUUUCUCCCCCACCGCCCCAGGGGCAGCAUCCUCAGGGGCCCUCUGCUCUUCCAUUCACCUCCAGCUCCUUUCCUUCCCCGUCCACUCUGAACCGCUGUCGUGGGUGCGGAUGAUGGCUCUGCAUCACACACCACGUAGAGUGACCGGCCUUCCUGACCUUCCUGACCUCCGAAGUCUGUCUGCCCUCUCCUCCCCACAGUGGUUUCUCUCCUCAGUCUGCUCUCCAUUCUCUCCCCACCUCAGUGCAGCCACUUAGUGCAGCAUCUCAGCCGUCUCCUUGACCAUUCGGGGACUUGCCCCUAUGAGAGGCAUGUAUGUCUGUCAUUUCCUGGGCGAUUAUGGACAAGGGAAACAGUGUUUCCUGCCACACCACACUAUGAGGAGGACUCCAGGAAGAGCCACUUUGCUGGGCACUGCCUCUGGGCUGCCUGGGGAUGCUUGCUAAGGGUCUUCUUGCCCCCAGGAUGGCGGAGGCCGACCACUCUUCUAAGGGGAGAUCAGAGGGGAAUGGCUCCGGUCGCCUGCAUUCUGUAACCCGCCCUGGAGAGGAGCGUGCAGCUGGGCAGGUGUGGGGCUGCAAGGUCAGCGGCUCUGUCCCUGUGGUGACAGCCUGGCCAGCACGUUUCCUAGUGAGUGCACUGUGGGCGCAUUGUACCUUGUAGCUCAGAAUCAAUAAACUCAAGGCAAUUUCCUUAACAUCCCAUCAAUAAGAGAUUACGGAAAGGGGAGGGUUUUCUUUAGAAGCUAAUGCCUUACUAAAGUUCAAAUGAGGCAAUAUAUAGUAAAAUAAAUUCAAUUUCUAUUUUCACUCCUUGCAGUUUUAGUGGAGACUAAAUGAAAUGGAACCAUGUUGAUCCUCACUCGUUCAAUAUAUCUUCACUUCCUAAGAACCAAGGUCAUUUUUACCUUCACGGGAAGGAAGGCAAAAUAUAAAAUACCCAUUCAGAAAUGCGUUUGCAGGGUUUUGAGAGCCAGCUAGAUGACUGAUAUAUUAUGUAAUUCAUUUCAUGGCACAGCCGAAUGUGUUUUACAGAUAGUGUUUAACCUUCCCAAUUCUGCUCUGAGAUAAUCCCCCUUCUGAGGAUAAAAAUCUUAUAUUUAACAUAAAAGGAGCGGCUGGAGGGAGGAAAGCUGCGUAGCGUGUACCAUGCAACAGAUAACCGGAAGUUGCCCCAACAGUGGUGAUCAGAGGAGAUCUCUGCAGCCUUGCCUUAUUAACUAAUCUCACACUACACCCACCAGGACAAGGUGGCAGCCAAUGUGCGAGGCCACGGCGGUGUAGGCCGAGGGGCAAAAACGUAUCUUGUACUUGUGGCUGACUGGCACAAGGGCAGCAGUGUGGUCUGCCGUGGACAGAUUCUCGACAGACCUUGCUCCAUCCUGUGUGUGACCUGGGGCCUGAGACAACCGAACCCCCCAAGCCUCAGGGCCCUUGUCUGGCCCCCACUGUGGGGGCUCUCACUGGGGCAAGCUAAGAUGUGGGCAGAGUUGGGUGCGGUGACUGUUGUAUCUCCCGGCUUGGCAGACACCGUUACCCCACAGAAUGAAUGUCUUUUUAGGGAUUCCUGGACCACAGGUGCUGAGAUCCUUACCUGGGUGACUUUCCAGGGUUCUUGUUCAUUGUCAUUUGCUGUCAGCCACUCCAACGCCCACCUUGUCCCUCUGUCAACUCCCUCUUCCCCUCCACUGCCAACUUGGCCACCUCUUGACAACUAUUUCAUUGACAGAAGGGAAGUACUAGAUCCUUAUCCCUGGCCGGUGACAUAUCAACGUCCAGUGUGGCAGGGUGGGGGGUAUUAUCGAUGGCACCUAGGUGUCUCCCUGAAACCUCCUGUCGUCACAGGUUGGACUUCUUCAGAGGUGGCUGGAUCUGGGGUGUGUGACUGAUUCCUGGUGCCACGCUGGGGUUACAGGUAUGUGAUUGCUGCAUCAGCCCACUGCUUGGUUUAGCACCCCAGCCCCAUAGUACAGAUAAAGAGGAGGCAGAAAGACCUGCUAAGGUCCUCGCUGCUUUCUACCUUCUGUCCACCACGAACUGUUUCUCCCCUGCCACCGUGCCUUGGAGCCAGCCAAAUAUGAACUCUGUCUUGGUUACUUUUAUUUCAUUGCUGAGACAAAAUACCUGACAUCCAAAAUGAAGGAGACAAAGUUUAUUUAAUUCAGAGUUUAUGAAGGUUUCAGUUCAUAAUUAGCUGGUUCCAAGGCACGGUGGCAUGGCACAGGGCAGAUACUUGUGAUACUAAGAUGCUGAAAAAUUAAAAUAGUUAAUUAAAAGAUAGUUAUUAACAAAAAUAGUUAAAAGGAUAGUUAUUAGCAGUAUUGUCAUUCUGUGCUGAGCUUGUUACCCUAGUAACCAAGCACCAACCACAUAGUUAUAGAUUAAUUGACCACGUCAUCAUGCUGUUCUGUAUGCAUCGUUCCCCCUCCAGUAACCUGUUUGCUAUGUCAACCUUUGUUCCCACUGCAAGAGACAAAUGAUGCUGUGUAAACCAUUGUUCCCUUUAUGAGAGACAAAUGUUCCUGGAAUUGGCAGACCAAGGGCUAUGACUUGGCUAACCACCCACAAUGCCUCUGACCUCAAGCAAAGGGGAACAAAGGCCCACCUUGUUUCUGUUUCUCAUCGCUAUGUACUUAAUGAUCAAUGAGCUAAUCAUAAAUGAACUAUAAAAAUCAGUCAAAAUUCUGACUCAGUUGCACAGCUUUGCAAAUUCCAUCUGCACUGUGUCGCUGGGCCAGCUAAAAUAAAAGUGCUUCUUUUAAAAAGAUGUUGUCUUUUUAAAAAGAUGUCGUUUUUCAUCUUGGGGGUCCUUUUUUGGGGAGUACAACAAUACCAAAAGCAACAAGAGCAAAAUGGGUAAAAGGAAAAGCACACCCCUUUCCCUCCCUUACAUUGUAUGCGGCUCCCCACACCUGGGCGGGUGCCAAUCCCAGCACCAGACAGUGCACCAGUCACAAACACUAGACUCAGCCGCCUUUGAAAGGCCUGUCCCCCCACAACUGCAUGAAGCUUUGUGGGGACACUUAAACACAAAUCAUAAUAGACUGAAACCUCUAUAAACUGCAAGCUAAAUAAACUUCUCUGCCUUUAA